UGAGGAAUAUUGGACAAUGGGCGCAAGCCUGAUCCAGCCAUGCCGCGUGCAGGAUGACGGUCCUAUGGAUUGUAAACUGCUUUUGUACAGGAAGAAACAGUUCUACGUGUAGAACCUUGACGGUACUGUAAGAAUAAGGAUCGGCUAACUCCGUGCCAGCAGCCGCGGUAAUACGGAGGAUCCAAGCGUUAUCCGGAAUCAUUGGGUUUAAAGGUCCGUAGGCGGUUAGAUAAGUCAGUGGUGAAAGCCCAUCGCUCAACGGUGGAACGGCCAUUGAUACUGUCUGACUUGAAUUAUUAGGAAGUAACUAGAAUAUGUAGUGUAGCGGUGAAAUGCUUAGAGAUUACAUGGAAUACCAAUUGCGAAGGCAGGUUACUACUAAUGGAUUGACGCUGAUGGACGAAAGCGUGGGUAGCGAACAGGAUUAGAUACCCCGGUAGUCCCUGAGCGGGCUGGCAAGGCGCAU
rnacentral:rRNA from 1 species